rnacentral:lncRNA from 1 species
UGUGACUAGCACUUGCUUCCGCCCAUGUCCUGGUGUUGGAGGAGAGUGGAGCUUGUGAAGCCCAGUCUGGAGUGGCAUGCUCUUCUUGGUUCAGUCCAAAGACAGAGGCUUCUAAAGGGCUAUGAUGAUGAUGAUGAUGAUGAUGAUGAUGAUGAUGAUGAUGAUGAUAUAACAUUAACCACAAUGGCAAAUAGAAAAGACUGAAGAUGUUGGAAAUACUUAUAUUAUGUUUCAGGUCUAUAUCAUAAAAAUAAAUUGGUAAUCGGACU